UGGGGAAUCUUGCACAAUGGGGGCAACCCUGAUGCAGCGACGCCGCGUGAGCGAUGAAGCCCUUCGGGGCGUAAAGCUCUUUCGACCGGAACGAUAAUGACGGUACCGGGAGAAGAAGCUGCGGCUAACUACGUGCCAGCAGCCGCGGUAAUACGUAGGCAGCAAGCGUUGUUCGGAGUUACUGGGCGUAAAGAGUGCGUAGGCGGUUUUCUAAGUUCGGUGUGAAAUCUCCCGGCUUAACUGGGAGGGUGCGCCGAAGACUGGGAAGCUGGAGUGUGGGAAAGGCAGGCGGAAUUCCUGGUGUAGCGGUGAAAUGCGUAGAUAUCAGGAGGAACACCGGCGGUGUAGACGGCUUGCUAAACCAUAACUGACGCUGAGGCACGAAAGCGUGGGUAGCAAACA
rnacentral:rRNA from 1 species